CUUGGUGCCUUGCCGGCCUCAGCUUCUCCUCCCAGGACUCAGCGUUGCGUUGCGGGGCCUCCCUCCCUCUGCGCCUCCUGGAAGCCUGUCCCGCCAGCCCCGAGGCCAGGUCAGACGCUCUGUGGAGAGCCGUCAUCCAGGAUCCCCACCUCUCCUCCCGGAAACUCUCCCUCCCCUCUGCUCUCCACCUGCCGGCCUCAGUGGCUGGAAGCCCCCUCCAUUCCGAUGAAGGCUGCCCCCCCACACCCCCGAUGCCUCAUUCCUCCUCCACCGUCAGCACCUCCAGAGCACUGACUCCGACUGCUCCGUGGGGUAGAGGCCCUGCUCGCUCACUCGUCAUUCAUUUGUUCACUGGGUCUUCAUUCAACAAACAUCAAUCAGGCACCCACAGGUGCCGGGCAGCGUCUUGGUGCUGGGGAUACAGCAUGAACAAAACAGAGAAGUUCCCCGGCUGGGUGAGCUCCAUUCCAGUGGGCGCAGACCCACACAAAAGCACUAGGUGGUCCGCCCACGGCUGGGUUCUCAGCGCUCCUCAUUGGCUGGCUCCGGUCCUGCGUCCUGGCCUUCGCUUCUCCCUCCCCACCGCUGUCGCCACGAGUUCCCUGCCCGCUCCCCUGUCCACUGUGGAAUUCUUACACUGUCACCAAGGCCCUGAGGGAGGUGGUGGGGAUAAAAUGAUGACCAAGACGUGGCCCUGCCCUGGGGGCCCACAGUGCGGGACCACGCGGUUCCUGGUUAUAUUGUCUGCGUUUAUUCAAUGAACAAAUGAGUGAGUCAGUGAAUGAG
rnacentral:lncRNA from 1 species